rnacentral:rRNA from 1 species
GACGAACGCUGGCGGCGUGCCUAAUACAUGCAAGUGGGACGCAAGGAAACACACUGUGCUUGCACACCGUGUUUUCUUGAGUCGCGAACGGGUGAGUAACGCGUAGGUAACCUGCCUAUUAGCGGGGGAUAACUAUUGGAAACGAUAGCUAAUACCGCAUAAUAUUAAUUAUUGCAUGAUAAUUGAUUGAAAGAUGCAAGCGCAUCACUAGUAGAUGGACCUGCGUUUUAUUAGCUAGUUGGUAAGGUAAGAGCUUACCAAGGCGACGAUACAUAGCCGACCUGAGAGGGUGAUCGGCCACACUGGGACUGAGACACGGCCCAGACUCCUACGGGAGGCAGCAGUAGGGAAUCUUCGGCAAUGGACGAAAGUCUGACCGAGCAACGCCGCGUGAGUGAAGAAGGUUUUCGGAUCGUAAAGCUCUGUUGUAAGUCAAGAACGUGUGUGAGAGUGGAAAGUUCACACAGUGACGGUAGCUUACCAGAAAGGGACGGCUAACUACGUG